CCUACGGGAGGCAGCAGUGGGGAAUAUUGGACAAUGGGGGCAACCCUGGUCCAGCCAUGCCGCGUGUGUGAAGAAGGCCCUCGGGUUGUAAAGCACUUUCAGUGAGGAAGAACGCCUGGUGGUUAAUACCCAUCAGGAAAGACAUCACUCACAGAAGAAGCACCGGCUAACUCCGUGCCAGCAGCCGCGGUAAUACGGAGGGUGCGAGCGUUAAUCGGAAUUACUGGGCGUAAAGCGCGCGUAGGUGGCUUGAUAAGCCGGUUGUGAAAGCCCCGGGCUCAACCUGGGAACGGCAUCCGGAACUGUCAAGCUAGAGUGCAGGAGAGGAAGGUAGAAUUCCCGGUGUAGCGGUGAAAUGCGUAGAGAUCGGGAGGAAUACCAGUGGCGAAGGCGGCCUUCUGGACUGACACUGACACUGAGGUGCGAAAGCGUGGGUAGCAAACAGGAUUAGAUACCCGUGUAGUC
rnacentral:rRNA from 1 species